UGGGGAAUCUUGCGCAAUGGCCGAAAGGCUGACGCAGCGACGCCGCGUGGGGGAUGAAGGUUUUCGGAUCGUAAACCCCUGUUGCCCGGGACGAACAGCCCUUUCGAGGGACUUGACGGUACCGGGUGAGGAAGCACCGGCUAACUCCGUGCCAGCAGCCGCGGUAAUACGGAGGGUGCGAGCGUUGUCCGGAAUCACUGGGCGUAAAGGGCGCGUAGGCGGCUGGGGAAGUCGGUGGUGAAAGCUCGUGGCUCAACUACGAGUCGGCCAACGAUACUCCUCGGCUCGAGCACUGUAGAGGCAGGUGGAAUUCCGGGUGUAGCGGUGGAAUGCGUAGAGAUCCGGAAGAACACCGGUGGCGAAGGCGGCCUGCUGGGCAGUAGCUGACGCUGAGGCGCGACAGCGUGGGGAGCAAACA
rnacentral:rRNA from 1 species